rnacentral:rRNA from 1 species
GACGAACGCUGGCGGCGUGCUUAACACAUGCAAGUCGAACGCGCCUGUCCUCUGGGUUUCUGGGGGGUGGGUGAGUGGCGAACGGGUGAGUAACACGUGAGUAACCUGCCCCCUUCUUCGGGAUAACGGUCUGAAAGGGCUGCUAAUACCGGGUAUUCACUGGUCUCCGCAUGGGGUCUGGUGGAAAGGUUUUUUUCUGGUGGGGGAGGGGCUCGCGGCCUAUCAGCUUGUUGGUGGGGUGAUGGCCCACCAAGGCUUUGACGGGUAGCCGGCCUGAGAGGGUGCCCGGUCACAUUGGGACUGAGAUACGGCCCAGACUCCUACGGGAGGCAGCAGUGGGGAAUAUUGCACAAUGGGCGCAAGCCUGAUGCAGCGACGCCGCGUGAGGGAUGGAGGCCUUCGGGUUGUGAACCUCUUUCGCCCGUGGUCAAGCCGCGACGUGGGUCGUGGUGAGGGUAGUGGGUAAAGAAGCGCCGGCUAACUACGUG